rnacentral:rRNA from 1 species
GCGCUCUUUGGUCUUAGGAGAUUCUAAGGUUUUCACUUCGGCAAUACAUGCUAGUUUAAAGCGAACGGGUGAGGUUUCUAGAUGGGAUCAUAUAGAAUUGAAUUAGGGGAGUCCAUCUAGUGAGGGAUGAACUGACGAUUUAAAAGCUCGGCCACACCUCUUAGGAAAUUAGGGAUAUCAGCAGUAGAGAAUAUUGAUCCCUUGGCGUUAGCCGGAAUCAGUUUAGUGAAAAGGCCUGUCAAAGCAAGUGCCAGCAGACGCGGUUAUACCUGCAGGCCUUCUUUAGACUUAAUUGGGUAAGAGGUGACUAGGAUGUUCUGAGAGGAGAAGAUAAGGCUUAUGGUUAGUAAAAUAACAUAAGCAGGAAAUAUUAUACUCCUGUCUUUCUUUGUCGCGAGUGCAUUAUAUAAAAAAGGAUUAGAUACCCUUGUAUUUUUGUUUUAAAUAGUUAUUAAAAUCAUCUGAGUAUUCUGCGUAGAUUAAAUUCAAAGGACUUGGCUGUUUAGUGAAUUAAUUAGAGGAGUCCGUGGCUUAAAUCGAUAUUCCACGUUUUAUCGUCCCUUUUUUAGUUAUCAGGUUUGCAUGGUCGUUGAAAAAAGAUAGUUAAUAAUCUUUCUAUACUUUAUAGUAGACAACAGAUAUUAUGACCCCUAUAAAAAGGAGCUAAUGUACUACAGUGUUAAUCUUAAUAGAUAGGUCCGGUUGUCAGAUGAAAUUAUGACUUAAGUCGAAUUUAAUAGUAAUGGGAAAGUAGCGUGUUCCAAUGAAUUAAUAAUGCUAUAAGUACAAAUUGCCCGUCACCUUUUUCCUCUGGUGGACCUUUAAUUUGACUACGGGUUCUAAGUAGAGAGAAAAAGUAAGUCGUAACAUAGUGAGGGGAGGGGAACCUCUCC